rnacentral:rRNA from 1 species
AUGAUUAGUCAUCUAUGCUUUCUCACCCAGCCAGCUCUGCCACCAGAUCUAUCGAGAUCAUCCCCAAUGGUUCUUCAAUACACCGACGACGCCCUAAUUACGAUCCAUGCAUCUCUCGAGGACACGGCUACCCUCAAAGAUACCUUCGACAGGUUUGCCCUUGCUACCAGUCUCACCAUCAACUUUCACAAAACUACCUUCGUACCCAUCAACACAUAUUCCACCACUAGCCAGAACGUCGCCUUCACCUUCGGAUGCGACCUCUCAUCCUUCCCCCAAAUCUAUCUAGGCCUUCCGUCCUCCACAUUUUAA